rnacentral:misc_RNA from 1 species
AACAUCGCGCACCUGCGGGAACCUGCGGAGGGAUCAUUAUCGAGUGCUGACCCCCCCGUAAAAAGGGGGGUUACCUCCCGUCCUUUGCUAGGCAUCCCCUUCUAUUUGGAAGGGGGUUGCUCUGAGAACCUUUCUGCUUCGGCGGGGUUACCUGCCGAAACAACCUCAAAAUUCCAAGUCAAAACGGUUCAGUCCGAGAAACUUUUGAAAAAGCGAAAACUUUCAACAAUGGAUCUCAGA